rnacentral:tRNA from 1 species
GCCGCGGUAGCUCAGCUGGGAGAGCGUGCGGCUGAAGACCGCAAGGUCGAGGGUUCGACCCCCUCCCGCGGCA